rnacentral:rRNA from 1 species
UACGAAGGGGGCUAGCGUUGCUCGGAAUCACUGGGCGUAAAGGGUGCGUAGGCGGGUCUUUAAGUCAGAGGUGAAAUCCUGGAGCUCAACUCCAGAACUGCCUUUGAUACUGAAGAGCUUGAGUUCGGGAGAGGUGAGUGGAACUGCGAGUGUAGAGGUGAAAUUCGUAGAUAUUCGCAAGAACACCAGUGGCGAAGGCGGCUCACUGGCCCGAUACUGACGCUGAGGUGCGAAAGCGUGGGGAGCAAACAGG